rnacentral:rRNA from 1 species
UACGUAGGGGGCAAGCGUUGUCCGGAAUCAUUGGGCGUAAAGCGCGUGUAGGCGGCUCGGUAAGUCUGCUGUGAAAGUCCAGGGCUCAACCCUGGGAUGCCGGUGGAUACUGUCGAGCUCGAGUCCAGAAGAGGCGAGUGGAAUUCCUGGUGUAGCGGUGAAAUGCGCAGAUAUCAGGAGGAACACCAAUAGCGAAGGCAGCUCGCUGGGACGGUACUGACGCUAAGGCGCGAAAGCGUGGGGAGCGAACAGG